GGAAGCUCGAGGGCCGGCCCCGCUCCCCCCACGUGUCCGCCGGAGUUUCUCCAGCAGCAACAUGGCCGCUGCCUGAUAGAAGACCCGGCCGCCGCUGUCUCUGCAGCCCGCGGGUCCCUGGGCCGUUGCCGCCGCCCGCUCGCGGCCCCGGCGGAGAGAUCGAGUUGAGGACUGUGUGGCGGGCUCUCCUUAGUAUGGCCAAUGAAGAAGAUGACCCAGUCAUACAGGAGAUUGAUGUGUACUUGGCCAAAAGUCUGGCAGAGAAGCUGUAUCUCUUUCAGUACCCUGUUCGUCCAGCUUCGAUGACCUAUGAUGACAUUCCACAUCUCUCAGCCAAGAUCAAGCCCAAGCAGCAGAAGGUAGAGCUUGAGAUGGCCAUCGACACCAUGAAUCCCAACUACUGCCGCAGCAAAGGAGAGCAGAUUGCACUGAACGUGGAUGGUGCUUGUGCUGACGAGACAAGCACGUAUUCCUCGAAGCUGAUGGACAAGCAGACCUUCUGCUCCUCCCAGACCACCAGCAACACGGCCCGUUACGCAGCUGCACUCUACAGGCAAGGUGAGCUCCACCUGACGCCUUUACAUGGCAUCCUACAGCUUCGGCCCAGCUUCUCCUACCUGGAUAAAGCAGAUGCCAAGCACCGAGAGAGGGAGGCAGCCAAUGAAGCAGGGGACUCUUCUCAGGACGAGGCAGAAGAAGACGUUAAGCAGAUCACGGUGCGGUUCUCCAGGCCAGAGUCGGAGCAGGCCCGCCAGCGCCGCGUGCAGUCCUAUGAGUUCCUGCAGAAGAAGCAUGCAGAGGAACCCUGGGUCCACCUACAUUACUACGGCGUGAGGGAUAGCCGCUCAGAGCAUGAGCGCCAGUACCUGCUGUGCCAGGGGUCCAGCGGGGUGGAGAACACGGAACUCGUCAAGUCACCCAGCGAAUACCUCAUGAUGCUCAUGCCACCCAGCCUGGAGGAGGAGAAGGACAAGCCUGUGGCUCCCAGCAAUGUCCUGUCCAUGGCCCAGCUUCGCACAUUGCCCCUGGCUGAUCAGAUUAAGGUCCUGAUGAAGAACGUGAAAGUCAUGCCUUUCGCCAAUCUCAUGAGCCUCCUGGGCCCCUCCGUGGACUCUGUGGCUGUUCUGCGUGGCAUCCAGAAGGUGGCGAUGUUAGUUCAAGGAAACUGGGUGGUAAAAAGUGACAUCCUGUAUCCCAAGGAUUCCUCCAGCCCGCACAGUGGUAUGCCUGCUGAGGUGCUCUGCAGGGGCCGAGACUUUGUGAUGUGGAAGUUCACACAGAGCCGAUGGGUGGUAAGGAAGGAGGUGGCAGCAGUGACCAAACUCUGCGCUGAAGAUGUGAAGGACUUUCUGGAGCACAUGGCUGUGGUGAGGAUCAACAAAGGCUGGGAGUUCUUACUGCCUUACGACUUGGAGUUUAUCAAAAAGCAUCCAGAUGUGGUCCAGCGGCAGCACAUGCUGUGGUCAGGCAUCCAGGCCAAAUUAGAAAAAGUCUAUAAUCUCGUAAAAGAGACCAUGCCAAAGAAGCCGGAUGGACAAUCAGGGCCUGCUGGUCUGGUGUCUGGAGAACAGCGGGUCCAAACAGCCAAAACUAAGGCCCAGCAGAACCAUGCCUUCCUGGAACGGGAGCUGCAGCGCCGGAAGGAGCAGAUGCGGGCAGCCACCGUCCUGCCCAGUGUGCAGAUAAAGGAGGAACCCCUGAGCGAGGAGGAAGCAGAUGGGGAAGAGCUGGAGGCCGAGGAGGAGGAGCCCAUGGACACUGCACCCAGCAGUUGCCUCAGCACCAAGUUGGCCAACGGACUGCCUGCUGGACGGGCAGCGGGUGGGGACAGCCUAAAUGGGCACCCAAUUCCAGGCUGUGCCAGCAACCCAGUGGCCCGGGAACUGAAGGCUUUCGUGGAAGCCACCUUUCAGAGACAGUUUGUGCUCACACUGAGCGAACUCAAGCGCCUCUUCAACCUGCACCUGGCAGGCCUGCCCCCAGGCCACACACUCUUCAGUGGCAUCUCAGACCGAAUGCUACAGGAUACGGUGCUGGCCGCUGGCUGCAAGCAGAUACUGGUGCCUUUUCCCCCACAGACUGCUGCUUCCCCUGAUGAGCAGAAGGUAUUUGCCCUCUGGGAGUCUGGAGACAUGAGUGACCAGCAUCGACAGGUUUUGCUUGAAAUAUUUUCUAAAAAUUACCGAGUACGCCGGAACAUGAUCCAGGCCCGGAUGACUCAAGAAUGUGGAGAAGAGCUAAGCAAACAGGAGGUGGAUAAAGUGCUAAAGGACUGUUGUGUAAGCUAUGGUGGCAUGUGGUACCUUAAGGGAACAGUACAAUCUUGACAACAGUAGCAAACCACUAACUCAACGAAUCCAAGCCCAGGGAAGGAUGGCAGAGCCAGAAGUAGUCUCGACUUGCCUCAGGACAGAGCAAGAGGAUCUGCCCACCUCGUGGCCUGUGGCUCUGCCUGGCCCAGAGGACAGAGGGGCUCAUACCCGGCCAGUGGCAGGGUCAGCGUCAAAUGAGGAAAAUUGCCAUCUCCAAUCAAGUUGUAUAAUUCAACAUAAGAAGAGGAUCCUUCAUUAUCAAGUGAGAUUUGUCUGUGGAAUUUAAAAUUUAAGCCAACAAUUUUUUAAGUCAACAAUUUAAGAAAAUUUAAGUCAACAAUUGUGUUGUAACAGCAGAAUGAAGGACAAAAAUGACCAUCUCAAUAAAUGCAGAAAAAGCAAUGAACUAAUUUAGUGCUCUCUUUGUACUGAAAGCUCUCAUUAGAUGGAGGAUAGCUCACACAACCAAGGCUAUGUACAACAAAGACUGCAACAAAUACAGCAUGCAGUGUUGAAUAUUGAAAGCUUGUAAGUUCAAAAUAGUGAUAUCUACUCACCACUCUUGUUCAACGCAGUACUGGGAGUCAUGGCCAGAGCAAUGAGACAAGAAAAAUAACCUCCAGAGUGUACAGAAGUCAAAAUUGCUUUAGUUGCAGAUGACAUCGUUCCCUGAAAAGUACAACAAAGGGAAGACACAUGUGCUAGUAUAUAUUCAGUAAAGUUGCAACUUUCAUGGAUCUGUAUAGAAGCAUUUCUCCAAAACUGCCUCUUAGAACACAUCAGAAUAUUUGACGUGGCCAGGAAUAAUCAGCCAAGAAAGUGGCUGACACUGGCAAGAGAUGAAGAUAAUAAAAAAAGCAGAGGGUACCCUAUAUUCAUGGGCUGAAUGCUGUUAAAAGACCAUACUACACAAAGUAGCAUACGGAUUAAAAGCAACCCUAUCAAGAUUCCAGGGACAUUUUUCACAGACAUACAGAAGAUAAUCCUAAAACUCAUAGAAGACCCUGAAUAGCCAAAGCAAAGCAGUAUAAAAAUACCAGAGCUUGAGGCAUGAUAGUACCUGGUUUUAAAAUCUAGAACAUGAUAAUGAACACCUUGGUGUUGGCAUAAAAACAGACAACAUGGAGAAAGGUUUUAUGUUCAUUAAGUGGUAACUGGCAAAUCUGUGUAACCAGCUGUCACUGGAAUAAAAACCUGAAACAACUUGGAAAGAGUUA